rnacentral:lncRNA from 1 species
UGAAGUCGGACCUAGGCCGUACCUACCCCUCUGGAAGGUCUUUUAUUCCAGUUUCUUCAUCCGGCCUAUUGGUUAGCUGUUCUUUUUAGGUGAACCACUCCUGCAUGCGCUGUCAUGCUGUCUAGCAUUUGCAUAUGUAAAACUGAGCUUAUCCAUCCUUCUUAAAGGUGGCGAACAGUCAAUGGAUGCAGUGUAAUUGAUCCGACAUUGUUGAGAUCAUGUAUCAUCUUAUACGAUAUAACAUGAGGUAGUCACUCUCUGAACUGUGUGU